ACGGCUCACCAAGGCGAAGAUGCGUAGCGGGUGUGAGAGCACGACCCGCGCCACUGGCACUGAGACACUGGCCAGACACCUACGGGUGGCUGCAGUCGAGGAUCUUCGGCAAUGGGCGAAAGCCUGACCGAGCGACGCCGCGUGGAUGAUGAAGGCCUUCGGGUUGUAAAAUCCUGUCGAGGGGGAUCAAGCGCAAGUUGAGUGAUCCCUGGAGGAAGCACGGGCUAAGUUCGUGCCAGCAGCCGCGGUAAGACGAACCGUGCAAACGUUAUUCGGAAUCACUGGGCAUAAAGGGCGCGUAGGCGGCUUGACAAGUCAGGGGUGAAAUCCGGCAGCUUAACUGUCGCAGUGCCUUUGAUACUGUCGAGCUCGAGGGAGGUAGGGGUCUGUGGAACUUCCGGUGGAGCGGUGAAAUGCGUUGAUAUCGGAAGGAACGCCGGUGGCGAAAGCGACGGACUGGAUCUCUUCUGACGCUGAGGCGCGAAAGCCAGGGGAGCAAACGGGAUUAGAUACCCCGGUAGUCCUGGCCCUAAACGAUGGGUACUAGAUUGCGGACUUACAUGGGUUCGCAGUCGAAGCUAAUGUUUUAAGUACCCCGCCUGGGGAGUA
rnacentral:rRNA from 1 species